CCUACGGGCGGCUGCAGUCGAGAAUCAUUCACAAUGGGGGAAACCCUGAUGGUGCGACGCCGCGUGGGGGAAUGAAGGUCUUCGGAUUGUAAACCCCUGUCAUGUGGGAGCAAAUUAAAAAGAUAGUACCACAAGAGGAAGAGACGGCUAACUCUGUGCCAGCAGUCGCGGUAAUACAGAGGUCUCAAGCGUUGUUCGGAAUCACUGGGCGUAAGGCGUGCGUAGGCUGUUUCGUAAGUCGCGUGUGAAAGGCGCGGGCUCAACCCGCGGACGGCACAUGAGACUGGGAGACUAGAGUAAUGGAGGGGGAACCGGAAUUCUCGGUGUAGCAGUGAAAUGCGUAGAUAUCGAGAGGAACACUCGUGGCGAAGGCGGGUUCCUGGACAUUAACUGACGCUGAGGCACGAAGGCCAGGGUAGCGAAAGGGAUUAGAUACCCCAGUAGUC
rnacentral:rRNA from 1 species